ACUCUUUUGCACAGUAGGUAGUGCAUCAGUCUCAUAAGCUGAAGGUCCCAAGUUUGAUCCUCAGAAGGAGGG
rnacentral:tRNA from 1 species